AUUGAUUUUACGCUGACUGUUGCCGGUGGCUACAUCACCGUUCCUGAUAAAACUUCUAGACCAGGAAGAAAGCUAGUGGGCGAAUUAUACAACGUGUGCAAUAUACCCCACUCGAAACCUAGAUUAACUCCAGCACCUAAGUCACAUGAUAUCACACCAAACUUUGCUAUGCUUCAUAUCGACUGUCCUAGCAACAUCCCCGGCUGUAAUAAACUUGAGCUUCAUGUGUCACAGUAUUGGGAAAUGGUCACUGCACCUCAUUAAGUAUUUGAGAGACAGUCAAAAUUAUUGUGAUGAGAAUUGGAUUCUUGUCUCUGAUUAAAAAUGUAAACAUUACAUAA